rnacentral:rRNA from 1 species
AUGGUUAAGUGACUAAGCGUACACGGUGGAUGCCUUGGCAGUCAGAGGCGAUGAAAGGCGUAAUAACUUGCGAUAAGCCCAGAUUAGGUAGUAAUAACCUUUUAGUCUGGGAUUCCUGAAUGGGGAAACCCACUUACAUAAGUAAGUAUCCUGUUGUGAAUACAUAGCAACAGGAGGCAAACCGGGGGAACUGAAACAUCUAAGUACCCCGAGGAAGAGAAAUCAACCGAGAUUCCGAAAGUAGCGGCGAGCGAAAUUGGAUUAG